AGGGACUUAGGCUAACAAUUUAGACCAAGGGCCUUCAAAGCCCUAAGUGGGGGUGAGAAGCCCCCAGUCCCUG
rnacentral:tRNA from 2 species